GACAGAGGGUGCAAACGUUGCUCGGAAUCACUGGGCGUAAAGGGCGCGUAGGCGGACAAGUAAGUCGGGCGUGAAAUCCCUAGGCUCAACCUAGGAACUGCACUCGAAACUGCAUGUCUUGAGUACCGGAGAGGAAAGCGGAAUACCUGGUGUAGAGGUGAAAUUCGUAGAUAUCAGGUGGAACACCAGUGGCGAAGGCGGCUUUCUGGGCGGUAACUGACGCUGAGGCGCGAAAGCGUGGGGAGCAAACAGG
rnacentral:rRNA from 1 species